UAGGGAAUCUUCGGCAAUGGGGGGAACCCUGACCGAGCAACGCCGCGUGAGUGAAGAAGGUUUUCGGAUCGUAAAGCUCUGUUGUUAAGGAAGAACGAGUGUGAGAAUGGAAAGUUCAUACUGUGACGGUACUUAACCAGAAAGGGACGGCUAACUACGUGCCAGCAGCCGCGGUAAUACGUAGGUCCCGAGCGUUGUCCGGAUUUAUUGGGCGUAAAGCGAGCGCAGGCGGUUAGAUAAGUCUGAAGUUAAAGGCAGUGGCUCAACCAUUGUAGGCUUUGGAAACUGUUUAACUUGAGUGCAGAAGGGGAGAGUGGAACUCCAUGUGUAGCGGUGAAAUGCGUAGAUAUAUGGAGGAACACCGGUGGCGAAAGCGGCUCUCUGGUCUGUAACUGACGCUGAGGCUCGAAAGCGUGGGGAGCGAACAGG
rnacentral:rRNA from 1 species